rnacentral:tRNA from 1 species
CAUGUUAUAACUUUUGAUAAGUGUUAUUAUUUACAUUAAUAAUUGAGUUGUUUGAAUCAACUUGGCAUGA